rnacentral:tRNA from 1 species
AAUUGAUUAGUAUAUUUGUACAUUUGACUUCCAAUCAAAAAGAUUGAGUAAUCAAAUCAAUUA